GCGGAUGUAGCUCAGAUGGAUAGAGCAUCUGCCUCCUAAGCAGAGGGCCGUGGGUUCGACUCCCGCCAUUCGCA
rfam:Anaerovibrio sp. JC8 JC8_014, whole genome shotgun sequence.